rnacentral:rRNA from 1 species
ACGGGGUGCAGCAGGCGCGAAACUUCACACUGGGGGAACCCCGAUGAGGGAAAUCCUAGUGCUAGGACAUUUUGUUCUAGCUUUUCUCAAGCGUAGAUAACUUGAGGAAUAAGGGCUGGGUAAGACGGGUGCCAGCCGCCGCGGUAAUACCUGCAGCCCAAGUGGUGGUCGAUUUUAUUGAGUCUAAAACGUUCGUAGCCGGUUUGGUAAAUCUUUGGGUAAAUCGGGAGGCUCAACUUUCCGACUUCCGAAGAGACUGCCAAACUUGGGACCGGGAGAGGCUAGAGGUACUUCUGGGGUAGGGGUAAAAUCCUGUAAUCUUAGAAGGACCACCGGUGGCGAAGGCGUCUAGCUAGAACGGAUCCGACGGUGAGGGACGAAGCCCUGGGUCGCAAACGGGAUUAGAUACCCCGGUAGUCCAGGGUGUAAACGCUGCCGACUUGGUGUUGGAGGCCCUUCGGGGGCAUUCAGCGCCGGAGAGAAGUUGUUAAGUCGGCUACUUGGGGAGUACGUCCGCAAGGAUGAAACUUAAAGGAAUUGGCGGGGGAGCAC